AUGCAAGAGCUCGCAAUUUUCACCAAUCCCCGCAAUUAACCGCAUAAAAUUGUCCAAUCAAAAGCGGGUUCGUAAUUUUGACGAAUUACUGCACUUUUACCGUGGAAAAUGGCCCAAUCCAACCACAUGUCAACAAAGUUAUUUCUCCCUGGCCUGUCAGUGUAUUCACGUGUGAAGACGAUGGCAGAAGACCGUGUUAAACCAUUUCAAGGGCUGAAAGAAUCAAGGUGUGAAGAGCACAUGUCAAAAGGUCAUUUGAAAACAGAGGUAAGGAAAAGGACAAGACAAGUAAUUACGGAAAUGAAUGGACAAAGUCAAAUAUAAUCCACCAAUGCCCACCAGGUGGCAACAUAGACCUCCCAGGAAGGCCUCCUAUGAGAAACAUAGUACAAACAGGCAGCAACCAUUCCCUGAGACAAACGAACUCCAAAGACCUUGGCUGUGGGUUCUCUGAUUCAGUUGGCAGAAUAUGAGGAUGGUCUACGAGGGAUGAUGAAGACCAGCAUGCAGCGAUUGUGAGUGGGAGAGUGGUGAUUGGGUAUAUUGGACAUUGAACAACCAUGUUGAGUCAUCGAUCCCCUCUCUAAGAAUGAGAUACGGAUUAUGAAAUAACUCAUUGACCGCAUUCAAGAACAGUGGUCAACACAAUCUUCAGUACAGUAUGACAGCAGACAUCCAACAAUUUCUAUUGCUGCAUAGAAGACUGCUGUAUAAAAGACCAUAUGGAUAAUUACAGGGUAUGAAUAGCAGGGUUGGGGUCAAUUCUGAAUUGCAUUUGGCUUGCUCUUUAAUUCCAAUACAAUUAUUUAAUUUGAUUUGAAUUUGAAUUAGCCACACCCCAUAGAAAGCAGAAUUUGAAUAUGGAAUACACAUUGGGGAGGAAAAACUGCCGCAUAAAAAAAUUAUGUAAAAAUAUAAUUAAUUCCAUUCACCCCCCCCCCCCCCUCCCCAAUGCACCAACAACCAAGAUAAUUAACUAAAGAGAAAAAAGAGACAGAAAAAAACAGCAAACAACAAUGGAAAAAAAAAUGGGGAAAAAAUGAAAACAAGGGACAUCAAGGACAACUAAAAUCAUAACAGCAAUGCCAACAGUAUAUGUUUGUGUGCAUGUCUGGCACUAUUACAUGUACAGUUGAAGUCGGAAGUUUACAUAGGUUGGAGUCAUUAAAACUUGUUUUUCAACCACUCCACAAAUGUCUUGUUAACAAACUAUAGUUUUGGCAAGUCAGUUAGGACAUCUACUUUGUCCAUGACACAAGUCAUUUUCCAACAAUUGUUUACAGACCAGAUUAUUUCACUUACUAUUCACUGUAUCACAAUUCCAGUGGGUUAGAAGUUUACAUACAUUAAGUUGACUGUGCCUUUAAACAGCUUAGAAAAUUCCACAGUCUCUUACGACAUUCGUUUACCUCCCUUGGAAAUUGGUCAUUGAGCCCAAAUUUGGUCCCUUUAAGCUCCCUUCCCCUGCUUUUGAUCAGCUCCUUUUGUUGGUAGUGUUCAGAUUUUGCGAUGAUCGGUCGGAGACCGAGUGUUCGUUGUUUGCAGCAACUUCUUUGUUGUUGUAAUAUUGCAAAUGGACGUGGCUGUUUCACCAUUAAGGAUUCCAUCUUUAAAGGAUAGUUGAAUUCAAUGAAAUUCUAUGAUAUUCAAAUGGCUUAUUUAAUCUACGCGUCACCAUAGAAAAGUUUACUUUGACAUGUAUGGCUACCAAUACCAUGUAGCAUAAGUUUGAAACAUUUCAUUUUUAAAUCGGAUUAUCCUAAAACAAUUUUAAAUAAUUACAGUGGUAUUGAAAUAGUCUAAGAUCAUGUUGUGGGUUGUCUAUAAUAAUAAUAAAAUACAUUUCCCAGAUUGCAUUAGAUCAAACAGUAUCUUAUGGAAGGGAACAAUCUAACAUCUCAUUACAAAGAAAAAAUCUGUUGGCCGUCUUUAGUUAAAUUCAUGCUAAUGUUUGAAAUGGUAUAUGUAUUAUUUGCAUUAAGUGGCAUAUCGUUAAGAUAAAACACUUGUCAAAUGAAUGAGAUUUUCAUGCUUCAUGUCUCAUUUGAAUUGGUUUGAAUUGCUUGAAUUAUAUUCUACUUCAAUUCAAAUUCAAUUCAAAUGUUGCUUCCAGUGGGGUGUGGCCAAUUCAAAUUCAAUAACAAUGUAUGGUUUGAAUGCAAUUUCCUUUCAAAAUUCUGAAUUGACACCAACCCUGAUGAAUAAGUUAUCUGACUGUGUGCUAACCCACUGAAGGUCUUCAAAGAGAAUCAAUGGGAGGAAAUACUGCUGGAACUAAACUGGCAGGGCUUUGGUGAAGGAGUUCCGAGGUCAGUGAGGAAAUUCACUUAUAUCAGACUCACUGUAGUCAUGGAGACAGCAAGAGAACAAUGCCCCACAGCCCUCAGGGAGACACACAGACGGAUGGACAGACUAUCCUAACCCUAGCUCCAGCCAUAACCGUAACCCUAUCUCCAGCUCCAGCCACAACGCUAACACUAACUGCAGCCACAAACCUAACCCUAGCUCUAGCCACAAUGCUAACCCUAACUCCAGCCACAACCCUAGCUCUAGCCACAAUGCUAACCCUAACUCCAGCCACAACCCUAGCUCUAGCCACAAUGCUAACCCUAGCUCUAGCCACAAUGCUAACCCUAGCUCUAGCCACAAUGCUAAUUCUAGCUCUAGCCACAAUGCUAACCCUAGCUCCAGCCACAAUGCUAACCCUAGCUCCAGCCACAAACCUAACGAUACAGUAGUUCAAGCCACAAACCUAACCCUAGCUCCAGCUCCAGCCACAAACCUAACCCUAGCUACAACUCCAGCCACAACCCUAACCCUAGCUCCAACUCCAGCCACAACCCUAACCCUAGCUCCAACUCCAGCCACAAACCUAACCCUAGCUCCAACUCCAGCCACAAACCUAACCCUAGCUCCAACUCCAGCCACAACCCUAACCCUAGCUCCAACUCCAGCCACAACCCUAACCCUAGCUCCAACUCCAGCCACAACCCUAACUCUAGCUCCAACUCCAGCCACAACCCUAACCCUAGCUCCAACUCCAGCCACAACCCUAACCCUAGCUCCAACUCCAGCCACAAACCUAACCCUAGCUCCAACUCCAGCCACAACCCUAAUCUACCUCCCAGAGAUGCAGUAACACCUGAGGUAUCUCUCUGUGGUGGUUAUUUGACACAACAUGACUGAAGUGCUUAUGUACUGGUUGUAAAAAUACAGCAAUAUGCAUAAUGGGCCUGAUUCAGACACCUUUCCUACGCACACCUUUCCUACACACUUUUCAGUAGUUGGUAUUCAAAGUUAACAUAUGCAGGUGCGUAAUGAGCUUUGCGGGCGUGGUUCCCUUGCGCAUGCUGGAUAAAUUGAAUUAAACUGCUGGAACCCUCCCAUUUGCUGGCCAACAUAUUUUGUCCUGGAGUUUUCAUUCAAUAGGUUUUACAGUACAUUUAUCUAAAGCCAACCUAUCUAAAGCCAAUUUGGUGUACUUUUAGUUACAAUUUCUCUCGACAGACUCACUAGAAUAUAUGGAGAAAACUGUUCAGAAUAUUAGGGAUCAAUUAAGACAUGUAGGUCUAAAUACAGACAUUUGCCUCCUUUUCAGUACCAAUUGGUAGAUAAAAAAAUACUCUGAUCUUGCAUAUUAUUUAAGGUUAAGAAAGUAUUUAUGAAUAUAUAUUUUUUUGAAACAGGUUUGGAGAGCCUUUACACACUAAACAUAUUGGUGAAUCAAAAAUACAAUGGUUUGAUUCAUCCUGAAAGUUGCCAUAUUAAAUAGUUCAAUCCAUGAAAUAUUGGAAGGUGAGGAAAGUGUAAAAUAGGGGUUCAACAUAAGUCCUAUAAAUCUCCCCUAACCAACCUCACUAAUCAUGGAACUGUGUGAUGACAAUGUACAGUCCAGCCGUUGUGAACCGUUUGUCAGGCUCCGGGUUUAAACUGCUACGUACGGUCUGUGUUCCAUAAUGAUUCAAAUACUCCCAAAUUAUUGCACAACUUGUAAUAAGUUAGCCUAAUAUGAUCCACUAUUGCUUGCGAUCGUCAGGAACAACCGCACAAACGUGACCGAGGAAAGAAAGUUAAACUGACAAUGUUUUUUUAUAUAUUUGUUAUUUUACUAGGUAAGUUGACUGAGAACACAUUCUCAUUUACAGCAACAAUCUGGGGAAUAGUUCUGGAUGGGGAAUGAAUGAGCCAAUUGGAAGCUGGGGAUGAUUAGGUGGCCAUGGUUCUAAGAGGGCCAGAUUGAGAAUUUAGCCAGGACACUACUACUCUUAAAACGAGUGCCAUGGGAUCUUUAUUGACCACUGAGACUCAGGACACCCGUUUAACGUCCGAUCCAAAAGCCAACAUCCUACACAGUGCAAUGUCCCCAAUAACUGCCCUGGGAUAACAAAAAUUUAGACCAGAGGAAAGGUUGCCUCCUACUGGCCCUCCAACACCACUUCCAGCAGUAUCUAUUCUCCCAUCUAGGGACCAACCAGAGCCAACCCUGCUUAGCUUUAGAGGCAAGCCAGCAGGAUGCAGGGACUAUUCUGCUGGCUAAUGGAAUGAUGCAAAAUGUAAGGAAACUAACACUAAAGUGACAGUUAUAAAUGUAUGUGGGUAUUACUGACGGUGGCUCCCGAUUGUGGUUCAUAUUUAACAUGAUACAAACUGUCAAAUAAAAAUGUGACAAUCCCGGGCAUAUAAUUCAAACAUUCUAAAGCCUAUACGUGAACUCGGCAGGUUCGGCCCUACAGAAGCCUGUAGUUUGGGUCUCCACAUUUCAUCUACACAAAUGAUGAGGGCACACAAUAAAUAUUCUGAAUAGCGGCGCAGGUAUUUAUAGCCUUCUUCACUGUGGAAAAGGGGCCGCAAUACAUGACAUGUUGCUAUGAUUUUCAGUUUGCUUCCAUGUCUGGUUAACAUUAGUCAGAAUACAAAUAGAGCGUAAAGUGCAUAAAAAGGGAAUUACGUCCGUUUACGUGUUUAACUCGGGUCGGAAUUCUCCAUCACAGGAACUGUUGCUCCAAUCCACUGCCCACGUUGCCAGAUCAUCAUCAUCAUAACCCCAAAGACACACAGACAACUUCUCGUUUCCUGUCACUACAGUGAUAAAUCAGCGCUAGGGGUGUUGUGAAGAGACCCACAUCCUGCGCUGUCUAGUGCGGUCGGCUUUGUGUGGCCCUCUCUCUGCUCUGCAUGACAAUCCUAUCCUGUCUCACUACUAUAUCACCCUCACACCAAGCAUUCUGCUCUGAUAAGAUAGGGAGAGGGGCGCACACACACACACACGCACGCACGCUCACACCAGUCUGAUGAUGCUGCUCUGAGAUCAGGUCCUGCAGUUCAGGAGUCAUUCCAUAAACCUAGUGCAGACAAAUAUUAUGCAACUAUGUGGCUGUCUAUUCGCACUAUAAAUAACAUGCAUAUCUAAUAUCGCGCUUAGGCCUACACAAUGGAUUAUAGCAUUAGGUAAGCUUAACUGUGAGUUUACAAUCUAGAAAUCUAAUCAAAUAUGAAAGCCAAUAGGUUUUAUGAGAGCUUAGUCAGUAACCACUAAUUAGACAGUUGAUGGCUAAUCCUGCUUGAUACUGUACACCAGUCUUGUGAAAGACUGGUUUCCAGCUGUACACUAUCAAAAUCGGCUACUGUAGGCCUACAUAGUGCCAGACUGGCCGAUGGGGAUGUAAGUGUGUUAUAAUGGGUUUAUACUCCUCUCAAAAAAUGGAUUUGGGAUCCAGUAUGCCCUGUGGUUGAAUUACAGUGACCACUAGAGAGCGAAGAGGUACCACUGUCACCUUGAGCCUAAGGCUGCUAUUAUAAAACUCUAUGUAGUAAUCCAGUGAUAUAAGGGGUGACAUCGAAAGUAAAACCAUCAUCCAACAAAACAAAUCAAUGAGGAAAAAAAUGUAAAGAAAUAAAUGGAGAAAUUAAGACCGUAUUGAGCAGAACAUUUUCCAAAUGACCACAUUACAAAGGACCACAUUACAAAUGGCGGUACAGUAGUAGUGUGGAUGGCAACCAGUUGCAGAGUGAGAUUGCAGCGAUGCAGACAUGAAUGAAUGAACAUUGCCUAAACACAGAGACAAGCGUGGAGAGCUCUGGGGACAGGGAGACAGUGAAAUACAACCAGAUGUUUCUCUUUGUGUAAUUACUUACAAACACUAGCCAUAGAUAGCCUUUGUCUCUGAGGAGAGGGGAAAACUCAUCUUAAAAAAGUACAAUAAAAUUGUCUCUAUUUUUUGUUAUGAUUAUAUUGGCUUGCUUAUUAUUUUAAAACAAUGUACAGAAUAGGUGGAGUUUAUUUGUGAAUCCAUGCCCUAUGUUUUGAUACUGCUGCAAUCCUGGGGUGUAACUAACAAGCGUUCUCUGUCCUGCUGGUAUUUGUAGUUCUGUUAGAAUAGCUGUAUGCAGUAGUGAAGGUGCAUUUGUAGUUCACCUACCUUCAUACAGCCAGUCACUCAGGCCAUUGAAGAUGACUCGCUCCUUCCCUGUGGACACCAGGCGAAUGGUUCUGCUCUCCACUGUCGCUCUGUAGUAGAUGUUGUUCUCAAAGAUAAAGAUCUGGGGAAAGAAAGGACAUGAUGCUGGGUAUGGUACCUCCAAAAUAACCGUUUUGUGCAUUUCAGUGAUUUUGCUUUUGCCUCUUGACGUGUUUCAAAUCUUGUCUUCUCUGCUUGACACUAUGGCUGCCUUGUAAUUACUAGAUUGUACCUUUCCACACAAUAAAAACCACUUUGACUGACA